UACGGGGGGGGCAAGCGUUGUUCGGAAUUACUGGGCGUAAAGGGCUCGUAGGCGGCCCUCUCAGUCGGAUGUGAAAUCCCCAGGCUUAACCUGGGAACGGCAUCCGAUACUGGAGGGCUUGAAUUCGGGAGAGGGAUGCAGAAUUCCAGGUGUAGCGGUGAAAUGCGUAGAUAUCUGGAGGAAUACCGGUGGCGAAGGCGGCAUCCUGGACCGGUACUGACGCUGAGGAGCGAAAGCGUGGGGAGCGAACAGG
rnacentral:rRNA from 1 species